AUUGAACGCUGGCGGCAUGCCUUACACAUGCAAGUCGAACGGUAACAGGUCUUCGGAUGCUGACGAGUGGCGAACGGGUGAGUAAUACAUCGGAACGUGCCCGAUCGUGGGGGAUAACGCAGCGAAAGCUGUGCUAAUACCGCAUACGAUCUACGGAUGAAAGCGGGGGAUCGCAAGACCUCGCGCGGACGGAGCGGCCGAUGGCAGAUUAGGUAGUUGGUGGGGUAAAGGCUCACCAAGCCUGCGAUCUGUAGCUGGUCUGAGAGGACGACCAGGCACACGGGGACUGAGACACGGCCCAGACUCCGACGGGAGGCAGCAGUGGGGAAUGUUGGACAAUGGGCGCAAGCCUGAUCCAGCCAUGCCGCGUGUAGGAUGAAGGCCUUCGGGUUGUAAACUGCUUUUGUACGGAACGAAAAGGUUCUUUCUAAUAAAGAGAGCCCAUGACGGUACCGUAAGAAUAAGCACCGGCUAACUACGUGCCAGCAGCCGCCGCAG
rnacentral:rRNA from 1 species